rnacentral:rRNA from 1 species
CGCACGGCUGAGGAACACGUGACUAACCUACCCCGGUGUGGGGGAUAACGGGUCGAAAGACUCGCUAAUCCCGCAUACGAUCCGCCUCGGCGGAGGAAAGCCGUAAGGCGCACUGGGCGGGGGUCGCGUCCCAUUAGAUAGUUGGUGUGGUAAUGGCGCACCAAGUCGAUGAUGGGUCUCUGGUCUGAGAGGACGACCAGACAGAUUGGGACUGAGACACGGCCCAAACUCCUACGGGGGGCAGCAGCAAGGAAUUUUCGGCAAUGGGCGCAAGCCUGACCGAGCAACGCCGCGUGGAGGAUGACGGCUCUUGGGUUGUAAACUCCUUUUGGGGGGGACGAUAAUGACGGUACCCUCCGAAUCAGGCCCGGCUAACUACGUGCCAGCAGCCGCGGUAAUACGUAGGGGCCAAGCGUUGUCCGGAAUUACUGGGCGUAAAGCGUGGGUAGGUGGUCGGUGAUGUGCCGCGUGAAAGCGCCGGAGUAAUGCCGGCGAGGUCGCGGUAGACACACGGACUCGAGGCUCGCAGAGGAACGUGGAAUUCCCGGUGUAGUGGUGAGAUGCGUAGAUAUCGGGAGGAACACCAGUGGCGCAAGCGGCGUUCUGGGCGAGACCUGACACUGAGCCACGACGGCGUGGGGAGCAAACAGGAUUAGAUACCCUGGUAGUCCACGCAGUAAACGAUGCAUACCAGGUGUGGGAUGGCGUUCGCGUCGUUCCGUGCCGCAGCUUACGCGAUGAGUAUGCCGCCUGGGGACUACGAGCGCAAGCUUAAAACUCAAAGGAAUUGACGGGGGCCCGCACAAGCAGC